UUCUUCACCAUUAGCGACAGAGGUUUCAAGCUUUGAGGACUGAUCAUAUAAAAUGGGGAAGCUCUCCAUUGAGGAAAGGAAAGAGAAGAUCCAUCGGUACAUGAAGAAAAGGAAUGAAAGGAACUUUAGCAAUAAAUCAAGUAUGCUUGUCGCAAAACUCUAGCAAAUAUUCGUCCUUGGGUGAGGGGAAGAUUCGCGAAGUACGAUGAGCUUGGAGAGGCAUCUAGGCCUUCUUUUAGCACUCAUGAUGACGACGACGAGGAUGAACAAGUUGCAGUGAAGGAGCAGAUGGAUUCUUCAGACAUCUUCGCUCUGGUUGUGUAUGUGUGGUGGCUUGGGAGUGGUGGCAUUGAUCCUGAGGUGGGCAAUAUUAAUUGUCGGAAAUAAUCAUGGUGUAGUUGAGAAUGUGUUUUGAAUGAAUUAGGCAUACAUUACUCUCUGUUGAUGAUGAUAUCAUGUGAUUGUUGUGAAUCGGUAAAAUUCUCUUGCAUUUGGAUUAUUGAAUUGAAAUGCAUGCCCUCUGCUUGAUGGAAUUCCUAAAUGAAGUUAGCAUG